UCUUGUAUCCAAAAGUGAUCAUGGGUUGCCUGUGUCCCGAUCAUUAAUAGUGCAGGGGUAGGAGUGCUGAAAGACAUCUUCCCUGCGUUGGUCCAGCCUUCCUUUCAAACCCUGGAGCUUUCCCACA
ensembl:snoRNA SNORA71 Small nucleolar RNA SNORA71